ACUACGCCCGAACUUCCCGGCAGAGUGGCACAACUAACGCAUUACCUCAUCCGCCUGUGGAGUACGGCCACAAGAUUAAAACUCAAAGGAGUCGUCGGUGGCUCGCGUGAUUCGAAAUCACUGCGCGUGAAUAGUGUGUAGGUGGUUUGAUAAGAUCAGAUGUAAAAUCUACAGGCUCAACUUGUAGCUCGCAUCUGAAACUGGAAGACUUGAGGGCAGAAGAGGUAAGUGGAAUUUAUGGUGUAGCGGUUAUAUGCGUAGAUAUCAUAAGGAACACCAAUGGCGAAGGCAGCUUACUGGGCUGUACCUGACACUGAGACACGAAAGCGUGGGGAGCGAACGGGAUUAGAUACCCCGGUAGUCCACGCCGUAAACGAUGCCUACUAGCUGUUCGAAGUUCGACCCUUCGAGUAGCGAAGCUAACGCGUUAAGUAGGCCGCCUGGGGGAGUACGAUCGCAAGAUUAAAACUCAAA
rnacentral:rRNA from 1 species